CCCAGAAACUAAAAAGCAUACUCACAAUGAUUAAAUCCACAAAAUCUGCAAGGAGAAUGAAGUGAAUCUGAAUAUGAAAGUUUGAAAUCUCUUCGCGUUUUCAAUGUAUCGUCCCUUUAAAAUCGCUUCUUCUCAUAAUCGAUUCCUCUUCACAACAACUGAACAAGAAUGAGAAAGUGAGAAAAGUUGAGGUCGAUUUGGGUAGUUGAGAACGAUUUAGAGUUGAGAUUGAUUAGGGUUCAUCAAUUUAGGGUUGAGAUCAAUUUAGGGUUCAUCAAUUUGGGAAUAUAUUCAUCGAUUAGGGUUCAUUUGGUUUCAUUUUCAUUUGGUUUCAAUUUGAGAACUGCUAUGAAAAAUAAGAGGUAUUAUGGUUAUGGUUCGGUUCGGUUCGGUUUGGAUAACUGUGGUUAUUAAUGGUUCGGUUCGGUUAAUUAACUGCUAUCAAAAUAAUGGUUCAGUUCAUAAACUUGUGAAAUGGUUCAGUUAAUUUUGAUAUGGUUCGGUUC
rnacentral:lncRNA from 1 species